rnacentral:rRNA from 1 species
UUGCUUUCUUUGCUGGCGACCGGCGCACGGGUGAGUAACACGUAUCCAACCUGCCCUUUACUCGGGGAUAGCCUUUCGAAAGAAAGAUUAAUACCCGAUAGCAUAAUGAUUCCGCAUGGUUUCAUUAUUAAAGGAUUCCGGUAAAGGAUGGGGAUGCGUUCCAUUAGGUUGUUGGUGAGGUAACGGCCCACCAAGCCUUCGAUGGAUAGGGGUUCCGAGAGGAAGGUCCCCCACAUUGGAACUGAGACACGGUCCAA